CAAGAUGUAGCUUAAUCASUUAAAGCACCYGGCUUACACCCGGAAGACUUCAUACAACCUGAACAUCUUGA
rnacentral:tRNA from 1 species